ACUCGUAAUUGGCGCUCUUCGCCCCUUUAUAAUGCCAGCAGCAACAGAGAAAAAUAUAUUGCUAAUCAAAGCGUUCGUUUGAGUUUUAAUCGAUAUUGAAUUCAAAGUGUUUCUGUGGAAUUCAAGACAUUUAAUCGGAAUUACCUUCAGAAUUUCCAAUAAAAGUCGAUUUGGCGAAAACUAAUAUGCUGCGUAUGCCAAAUAAGGUAUGCUGUCAAACAAGCAAAUAAAUUAGGUACGCACACACAAACAGGAGCUCAUGGGCUGUAGUGUGUGCCUGAGGAUAAAGUUUUGCCUGGUGUUGGCUGCUAAAUGCUAAAAGCUGCUAAUUUCAUAUACAAUAAAACUAAUGUAAAUUGCCA